rnacentral:rRNA from 1 species
CUGUAACGACUCUCGGCAACGGAUAUCUCGGCUCUCGCAUCGAUGAAGAACGUAGCGAAAUGCGAUACUUGGUGUGAAUUGCAGAAUCCCGUGAACCAUCGAGUCUUUGAACGCAAGUUGCGCCCUAAGCCGUCAGGYCGAGGGCACGCCUGCCUGGGCGUCACGCAA